rnacentral:rRNA from 1 species
AGUGAACGCUGGCGGUAGGCCUAACACAUGCAAGUCGAACGGCAGCACAGUAAGAGCUUGCUCUUACGGGUGGCGAGUGGCGGACGUGUGAGGAAUACAUCGGAAUCUACUUUUUCGUGGGGGAUAACGUAGGGAAACUUACGCUAAUACCGCAUACGACCUACGGGUGAAAGCAUGGGAUCUUCGGACCUUGCGCGAUUGAAUGAGCCGAUGUCGGAUUAGCUAGUUGGCGGGGUAAAGGCCCACCAAGGCGACGAUCCGUAGCUGGUCUGAGAGGAUGAUCAGCCACACGGGAACUGAGACACGGUCCAGACUCCUACGGGAGGCAGCAGUGGGGAAUAUUAGACAAUGGGCGCAAGCCUGAUCCAGCCAUACCGCGUGGGUGAAGAAGGCCUUCGGGUUGUAAAGCCCUUUUGUUGGGAAAGAAAAGCAGCAGGUUAAUACCCCGCUGUUCUGACGGUACCCAAAGAAUAAGCACCGGCUAACUUCGUG